rnacentral:rRNA from 1 species
CCGGCACGGGUGAGUAACACGUAUCCAACCUGCCGUCUACUCUUGGCCAGCCUUCUGAAAGGAAGAUUAAUCCAGGAUGGCAUCAUGAGUUCACAUGUCCGCAUGAUUAAAGGUAUUUUCCGGUAGACGAUGGGGAUGCGUUCCAUUAGAUAGUAGGCGGGGUAACGGCCCACCUAGUCAACGAUGGAUAGGGGUUCUGAGAGGAAGGUCCCCCACAUUGGAACUGAGGCACGGUCCAA